CCUACGGGAGGCAGCAGUCGAGAAUCAUUCACAAUGGGGGAAACCCUGAUGGUGCGACGCCGCGUGGGGGAAUGAAGGUCUUCGGAUUGUAAACCCCUGUCAUGUGGGAGCAAAUUAAAAAGAUAGUACCACAAGAGGAAGAGACGGCUAACUCUGUGCCAGCAGCCGCGGUAAUACAGAGGUCUCAAGCGUUGUUCGGAAUCACUGGGCGUAAAGCGUGCGUAGGCUGUUUCGUAAGUCGUGUGUGAAAGGCGCGGGCUCAACCCGCGGACGGCACAUGAUACUGGGAGACUAGAGGAAUGGAGGGGGAACCGGAAUUCUCGGUGUAGCAGUGAAAUGCGUAGAUAGCGAGAGGAACACUCGUGGCGAAGGCGGGUUCCUGGACAUUAACUGACGCUGAGGCACGAAGGCCAGGGGAGCGAAAGGGAUUAGAUACCCUAGUAGUC
rnacentral:rRNA from 1 species